AUUGAACGCUGGCGGCAGGCCUAACACAUGCAAGUCGAGCGGAUGAAGGGAGCUUGCUCCUGGAUUCAGCGGCGGACGGGUGAGUAAUGCCUAGGAAUCUGCCUGGUAGUGGGGGAUAACGUCCGGAAACGGGCGCUAAUACCGCAUACGUCCUGAGGGAGAAAGUGGGGGAUCUUCGGACCUCACGCUAUCAGAUGAGCCUAGGUCGGAUUAGCUAGUUGGUGGGGUAAAGGCCUACCAAGGCGACGAUCCGUAACUGGUCUGAGAGGAUGAUCAGUCACACUGGAAAUGAGACACGGUCCAGACUCCUACGGGAGGCAGCAGUGGGGAAUAUUGGACAAUGGGCGAAAGCCUGAUCCAGCCAUGCCGCGUGUGUGAAGAAGGUCUUCGGAUUGUAAAGCAAUUUAAGUUGGGAGGAAGGGCAGUAAGUUAAUACCUUGCUGUUUUGACGUUACCAACAGAAUAAGCACCGGCUAACUUCGUG
rnacentral:rRNA from 1 species